rnacentral:rRNA from 1 species
AGAGUUUGAUCAUGGCUCAGGACGAACGCUGGCGGCGUGNAUUAGGCAUGCAAGUCGCGCGACGGGUAGCCUCGGCUACUACGGAGCGGCGAACGGGUGAGUAACACGUGAACAAUCUGUCCUUACAUUCCGGAUAAUUGGCCGAAAGGCCUUGUAAUACGGGGGAGGGUCAUGAUGGGGCAUCUCAUUAUGAAGGAAGGUGAAGGAGUAAUCCUUUGCCGUGCAAGGAGGAGUUCGCGGCUUAUCAGCUAGUUGGUGGGGUAAUGGCCUACCAAGGCGACGACGAGUAGCUGGUCUGAGAGGAUGGUCAGCCACAUUGGAACUGAGACACUGUCCAGACUCCUACGGGAGGCUGCAGUCGAGAAUCUUGGGCAAUGCACGAAAGUGUGACCCAGCGACGCCGCGUGGAGGAUGAAGGCCCUUGGGUCGUAAACUCCUUUUAUGAGGGAAGAACGUACCUUUAUGGUACUUGACGGUACCUCAUGAAUAAGCCACGGCUAACUACGUGCCAGCAGCCGCGGUAAUACGUAGGUGGCAAGCGUUGUCCGGAUUUACUGGGCGUAAAGCGUAUGCAGGCGGACCUUUAAGUCUGGUGUGAAAGGUUUGGGCUCAACCCGAACAGUGCACUGGAUACUGGGGGACUUGAGUUAGGGAGAGGAGAGUGGAAUUCCUGGUGUAGCGGUGAAAUGCGUAGAUAUCAGGAGGAACACCGAUGGCGAAGGCAGCUCUCUGGUCCUAUACUGACGCUGAGGUGCGAAAGCGUGGGGAGCGAACGGGAUUAGAUACCCCAGUAGUCC